GGGGAAUAUUGGACAAUGGGCGAAAGCCUGAUCCAGCCAUGCCGCGUGUGUGAAGAAGGUCUUCGGAUUGUAAAGCACUUUAAGUUGGGAGGAAGGGCUGCAAGUUAAUACCUUGUAGUUUUGACGUUACCAGCAGAAUAAGCACCGGCUAACUUCGUGCCAGCAGCCGCGGUAAUACGAAGGGUGCAAGCGUUAAUCGGAAUUACUGGGCGUAAAGCGCGCGCAGGUGGUUCCUUAAGUCUGAUGUGAAAGCCCACGGCUUAACCGUGGAGGGUCAUUGGAACCUGGGAGACUUGAGUGCAGAAGAGGAAAGUGGAAUUCCAAGUGUAGCGGUGAAAUGCGUAGAGAUUUGGAGGAACACCAGUGGCGAAGGCGACUUUCUGGUCUGCAACUGACGCUGAGGCGCGAAAGCAUGGGGAGCAAACA
rnacentral:rRNA from 1 species